AGCCAACGCCGAAUUGAAAUCAGGUGUAAGUGGAAAUCAGUUUGUCAAAUAAAAUCACACCUCCAGGGGGAAAAACACGGAGCGAUGAUUGUCGAUCUAGUUAGCCUGCAGCUGAGGGCACAAGGAGUAAAUAAAAUAUGAGUGGCAUUUCAAUGGUUGAGUACCAGCGAACAGCAAAAAAAACAGGUGAAAGAAGAAUGAGGGUACAACAAAAAAAAACAGUGAAGAAGAGCAAGAAUCGAGGCCAAGCAACAUCAAGUUCAGCACACGCAGACAAUGUGCACAGCGAUGAUGAAGUGGCUUUGUUGCAUACGGGAGCCGUCGAGUGUUUCCCGCAUUCUGAGUGCAUUCCUUGGCAGCCCCACAACGCACAGUGGAGGCUCUUCAAACAACAGUUGGACAAAACUCAGAAGAGAUUGGAAUUUUUUGACAAACAUUAAUCAUAAGACCACUAGUUUUGUCCGGCCUCACCGGCCACUGUGCCACACGGUCCAGCCGGGCUGCCAGGAGGAGCCGAACGUGUGGUAAAGUAUGCUGAGUGCUUUGUUCUGUCGGGAUGCUGAGAACACAUGUGAGAGCAAUCUGGCUGUGGAUUGUUGACAUUUCAUUGUCUUUGAGGUAAGUUUCCAUUUUAUUAGAUCAGUGUUUUUCUUAAUCAACCAAACUAAAACAGAACCCAC